rnacentral:rRNA from 1 species
GACGAACGCUGGCGGCGUGCUUAACACAUGCAAGUCGAACGGAAAGGCCCUGCUUUUGUGGGGUGCUCGAGUGGCGAACGGGUGAGUAACACGUGAGUAACCUGCCCUUGACUUUGGGAUAACUUCAGGAAACUGGGGCUAAUACCGGAUAGGAGCUCCUGCCGCAUGGUGGGGGUUGGAAAGUUUCGGCGGUUGGGGAUGGACUCGCGGCUUAUCAGCUUGUUGGUGGGGUAGUGGCUUACCAAGGCUUUGACGGGUAGCCGGCCUGAGAGGGUGACCGGCCACAUUGGGACUGAGAUACGGCCCAGACUCCUACGGGAGGCAGCAGUGGGGAAUAUUGCACAAUGGGCGGAAGCCUGAUGCAGCAACGCCGCGUGCGGGAUGACGGCCUUCGGGUUGUAAACCGCUUUCGCCUGUGACGAAGCGUGAGUGACGGUAACGGGUAAAGAAGCACCGGCUAACUACGUG